rnacentral:rRNA from 1 species
AUUGAACGCUGGCGGCAGGCCUAACACAUGCAAGUCGAACGAGUGGCGGACGUGUGAGUAAUGUCUGGGAAACUGCCUGGUGGAGGGGGAUAACUACUGGAAACGGUAGCUAAUACCGCAUACCAUCAGAUGUGCCAAGUUGGGAUUAGCUAGUUGGCGGGGUAACGGCUCACCAAGGCGACGCUCCCUGGCUGGUCUGAGAGGAUGACCGGCCACACUGGAACUGAGACACGGUCCAGACUCCUACGGGAGGCAGCAGUGGGGAAUAUUGCACAAUGGGCGCAAGCCUGAUGCAGCCAUGCCGCGUGUAUGAAGAAGGCCUUCGGGUUGUAAAGUACUUUCAGCGGGGAGGCGUUACCCGCCGAAGAAGCACCGGCUAACUCCGUGCCAGCCGCCGCGGUAAUUC